rnacentral:rRNA from 1 species
GAGUUUGAUCGUGGCUCAGAGUGAACGCUGGCGGCAGGCCUAACACAUGCAAGUCGAACGGCAGCACAGCAGUAGCAAUACUGUGGGUGGCGAGUGGCGGACGGGUGAGGAAUACAUGGGAAUCUGCCCUGUCGUGGGGGAUAACGUAGGGAAACUUACGCUAAUACCGCAUACGACCGAGAGGUGAAAGCGGCGGACCGCAAGGCGUCGCGCGAUUGGAUGAGCCCAUGUCGGAUUAGCUAGUUGGCGGGGUAAAGGCCCACCAAGGCGACGAUCCGUAGCUGGUCUGAGAGGAUGAUCAGCCACACUGGAACUGAGACACGGUCCAGA